UUUUAACCAGGUUUUCCGAAGGAAAAAACUGGUUAUUAGAUUGGCGAAUGCGGGCGGGCUGGCUGGCGGGCUGGCGGAAUAAGCUUGUCCGGGCCAUAACUAUGUCGUUCAUUGUCAGAUUUUAAAAUCAUUUGGCACAUUUGUUCACCAUCAUUGGACGGUGUGUCGCGCGAAAUAAUUACGUCGAUAUCUCCAAGGUCAAGGUCACACUUUGAGUUCAAAGGUCAAAAAUGGCCAUAAAUGAGCUUGUCCUGGCCAUAACUAUGUCAUUCAUUGUGAGAUUUUAAAAUCAUUUGGCACAUUUGUUCACCAUCAUGGGACGGUGUGUCCCACGAAAGAAUCACGUCAAUAUCUCCAAUGUCAAGGUCGCCACGACUAAAAAUAGAUUUAAAAAAAAAAAACUUACAAAGG